UCGGAACACAGGUGCUGCAUGGCUGUCGUCAGCUCGUGUCGUGAGAUGUUCGGGUUAAGUCCCGCAACGAGACGCAACCCUUAUCAUUAGUUGCUACGCAAGGGCACUCUAAUGAGACUGCCGGUGACAACCGGAGAAGUGGGGAUGACGUCAAGUCCUCAUGGCCCUUAUGGGUAGGGCUUCACACGUCAUACAAUGGUCGGUACAGAGGGUUGCCAAGCCGCGAGGCGGAGCCAAUCCCACAAAGCCGAUCGUAGUCCGGAUUGUUCUCUGCAACUCGAGAGCAUGAAGUCGGAAUCGCUAGUAAUCGCAGGUCAGCAUACUGCGGUGAAUACGUUCCCGGGUCUU
rnacentral:rRNA from 1 species